rnacentral:rRNA from 1 species
UACGAAGGGGGCAAGCGUUGUUCGGAAUUACUGGGCGUAAAGAGCGCGCAGGCGGUCGUUCAAGUCGAGUGUGAAAGCCCCCGGCUCAACUGGGGAGGGUCACUCGAUACUGAUCGACUCGAAGGCAGGAGAGGGUAGUGGAAUUCCCGGUGUAGUGGUGAAAUGCGUAGAUAUCGGGAGGAACACCAGUGGCGAAGGCGACUACCUGGCCUGUUCUUGACGCUGAGGCGCGAAAGCUAGGGGAGCAAACGGG